rnacentral:ribozyme from 1 species
CUAUUCCAUUUUCCCUUUCAUUUUUAUUUUUAUUCCAUUCCUCUUCUUUACUGUGCAACAAUAAAAAGAAAGGAAGCAA